CACUGUUGAAUUCUGUAAAACAUAACACAAAUGGGAGAUUGAUUUUUAAAUAAGUUUGUCAACAAUUUCCCUAAAAUAACCCAUUUUAUGUUCCCCAGACAGGUAAUUUGUUUUCCUCCUAUUUACGUAUUGUAUAUAUUUAACUACCCGACAAUAUAAAAACACACCUGCUGGUUUUUACAGUGCAGAGCAGUAAACUUGGAGGUGUCGAUGUUCGUAAACUUCCCCACAGGAAACAGCAAAGCUGAAAACAGGGACACAGAAAUGUACAUAAAUUAUCAGCAAUGAUUAAACUUUUAAUGAUCCCAUACUGAACUUAUUUUAAUUUCUUUUUUAAUAUUGAGAUAAAAGACGCGGAAAUUCGUUUUAUGCCAUUACUCUAAGUAAUGCUUCUGGGUUUUUUUUUUAAUUUAUGUUGCUUUAAGAUGAUUUGUUACUGUUGCUGCUGUUAUUGUUGUUUUUAUUUGUUUCCGGAGCACCAUAUAAUUUUGUUCUUGAAUUAUGGUACAUGUACUUUGUACGUGAUACUUGACCACCCUCUAGUGGAAUGAAGGUUAAAACACAGUUAGGGUUUAAAGCAACUGUACUGUUUUCCUGUCUGCUCCUGGCCUGUAGGAGGAAACCCUGGAACUCCACACUGCUGCUCUUCAGCACCUCCACUGUGACUGCAAAGACAAAAGCAGGUGGUGCUGGAGGUGGACAGCCUAAAUGGAGGACUGCUGGUGGAGGGGGUAAAGGGCGGGUGUUCAGGCAUCAUGUUGCCACAGGAGAAUGCCACAGAGCCGUUGGGGAAGCACAGGCACAGUUCCACAGAGAACGCACAGACGACUGUUAACAGAGGCACACAGAGUGAUGGAGACAUCUGGAAGAGACGAGAGAUGACAAGUGUGUGUGUGUGUGUGCUGUGGCAGCCAAGACCACCAAAUGCUCGGGUGGAUUUGACCGUUUUGAUAAAGCUGGAGCUGCUCAAUAGUUUGUGCUUAAAUUCACUGUAUCAUCCAGUGAGUGAGACUCCGUGUCCUUUGGUCAACCCCUCCGUUCAACAUGGGCCAAUCAAAAGACAACUAUAAGGUCAUGUGACAGACACAGGGAGUCAUAGACAGAGGAAUCCAGACCUGGCGACAGCAUCUUCCAGCAGCGUACGGUACGGUACUGAACACCCUCACCGCAGGUCCGAGAACAGUCGCUCCACCCACUGGUCUCCCACCUGUGGCACAGUGGUGAGAGACACGUUGGCAUGACGCCCCGUUGCCUCCGCAUACUCCACAUCUGUCCACUCUCCUGCUGCUGAAGAGCUCACCGUCGCAACCUACAGGCUGCAGGUGAGAAACAGAGCUCCGCGAACAAGAGGACCAACUGGACCACUCCCCCCACCACUGAAAGACCUCCUCCUGGGAGAGAAACACAGACAGAACCAGAGCCAGAAAAGAACAACCUGAACAAUAACAUCGAUUUUAGCUAAAGAAAAACCUGGGUCAUAACACCACGUUUUUAGCUUCUUUUUUUUUAUUUU